rnacentral:rRNA from 1 species
GGCCGCAGUAUUUUGACUGUGCAAAGGUAGCAUAAUCAUUAGUUUCUUAAUUGGAAUCUGGAAUGAAUGGUUUGACGAGGUAAUAACUGUCUACUAAUUUAUUAGUUGAAUUUUAUUUUUAAGUUAAAAAGCUUAAAUAAUUUUUGGGGACGAGAAGACCCUAUAGAUCUUUAUAUUACAUUUUGUAAUUAUAUUUGAUUAUAUUACAAAAAUAAUAUUGUGUUGGGGUGACAUAGGAAUAAUUUAACUUCCUAAUUAUUAUAACUAUGAUUAUUGAGUUUGUGAUCCUUUAUUAUGGAAUUAAGAUUAAGAUACCUUAGGGAUAACAGCGUUAUUUUAUUAGAAAGUUCAUAUUAAUAAUGAAGUUUGCGACCUCGAUGUUGGAUUAAAAUUAUUAAUUGGUGCAGUAGCUAAUUAAAUAAGUCUGUUCGACUUUUAAAAUUUU